UCUGUUUCCCUCCCUUUGAAACGGAAACGGGGACCCUGCUGGAUGUGCACCAUUCGGAGUAGCCAAGACAUGCAGUCAACGGAAGAGCCCAUCAAGGGAUGAAUGCAGAAAGAAAAUGUGCUAUAUCAACUCUGUACAUUCACUAAAAGUCAUUCAUUUGCACAGUGAGAAUAAGUGCCUUUCAUGCUAUGUAAACUAUGCCUCAAUAAAGCUGUUAAAUGAACAAAGAAAA